AGAAUAUAUGUGGGGAAAUGAUUUCGUUUAUUGGAUGUCUCCUUGGGAACUUCAAUUAACAAGAAUUAAAGGAUGAGAAGUGCCCAGGAAGUCCUGGAACUGAGUCCUGGGGCAAGGUUCUGGAAGUUGGGACAAGAAGUUGGCAAGCUGAUGAUCCAUGAGAGCUGGUGUGUAGUUCCAGUCCAAAUCUGAAGGGUUGAGAACCAGGAGAGCCUAUGCUU
rnacentral:lncRNA from 1 species